UAACUUUAAAUUGAACAUUAAUAAAACCUAUUAUAAUAUAAACUACGAUACAAAAUUAUAAAAAUAAAGAAAUUACAACUCAGAUAUGAAAAUAAGACAACAUAGAAAAAUAAUAUUAUUUAACCAUCCUCAUCUCUAAAGAUACUCUACAAAUGAUUCGUAAGAUCGGAUCGCAAGACUUUAUUAGUUCCCCGAUUGCGAAUCCGACCAAGACGUGCUGAGAUGUAAGACACAAUAAUUGAUGGAUCUCGACCAUAUUCGGGAGGAAAAAUAUUUUCUUCAGGUAAAGGUUCUCAUAAGUCGUAUCCAGUUUCGCGUUCAUCUUUAAUAAUCACUACUAUGAAGGAUAAUGCAAGUUUUGAUUAUCUUACAGAGAUCUUCUUUUGACAAAUAUCGUACGGGUCCUUGUGUAAUGCCCCUCGUACGGGUCCUUGUGUAAUGCCCCACCUAAUUUGUAAAACACCAAAUGUACGUUCUACAUCUUUUCGGACAACCUCUUGUUUUGUAGCAAAAUAAUUUUUUCUUUUGCAGUGGUCGGAUAAGGAAUGGUUUGAAUGAGAGUUGCAUAUUUUGGUUAAGUAAUAUCCCAUUGUAUAUGAAUGCCCAUUCACUGUAUAAUUGAUUGGACGCAUUUUGCCAUAUGUGAAUUUGUCGAAUAAUGGCGAAUG
rnacentral:lncRNA from 1 species